UCUUCUGUCACUGUCACCAUUGCGUCUUCGCGGCUUACUAGUGACUUCAUUUGUUUCCUUUGCUUCUUUCCCUUUCGAGAUUUUCUUAAAUCGAGAGAGAGAGAGAGAGAGAAGAAUAAAUUUUAGAUCAUAUAGCAACAAUCUUCCUGGAAAACAACAGACACCUCGUCUUCUGUUUCCUUCGCCAGAAACCAAUGACACUAGACCCGGCGACGGUGCACGUGCAUGUCCUCCCUAAACAUUUUGAGAAGUACUUUCAAAAGCAUAUUGACAUAUAAUUGCCUGCAUGACCAACAACGCAAUUCUAACUACUUGCUUAUAAAUUCGUGAGUGAAUAUUCUCUGGAUAAAAGGUCACGUUCAUCAGCGCCACAAAUAAUCGUAGUACAUACCGUGUCGUCCCUCUUGCGUGUCAUUAACGUACUAAGUCCAGGUAGUACCAAGAACAAACGACGCUGUCGUCCCGUACUAAAAACAUCGAUCUGUUAUGAUUUCACGAGCUCUUUUCAAAUAACAUUCACUUAAACGCGUAGACAUGUAAAUUCUCUCGUGCGCUACAUAAUCUCCUAAUUGUUUUUCCUCUUGUUUCUGAAUUUUAUCUUGGCAUCACGUGACGUUUGUCUAAUUGUUUCGUCACGUGGACGCGCGUUCAAAUCAGCCAAUUCUGUAUCUCUUUUCCACUCGUACGACGCUCAAAGGCCAUUUCCUUCCUUGGAGACGUAGCGACGACUAUUUUCUCCUUACGGCAUUGUUAACCAUUCUUGUUAUCUCUACCUCGGCCUCUCUCUCUCUCUCUCUCUCUCUCUCUCUUUCUCCUCUUUACUCUCUAAUGCCUCGCACUCGUUUCAAUGCACUCUGUAAACCCGUACCUGCACCCACGUUGGUUCAAAUGAAUUUGCAAUAAAUCGUUGUCACUCCAUGGAUGAUUACCUGUUGUCAAGACUCGGUAUAAUUCAUUUUUCAUCUUUAACAUUUUAACAAUUAUUAUAAAUCAUGUCUAGUAAGCAUCAUUAUUUUUUUUAAUUCCCGGAGACAACUUCUAUGCACGUACUGCUAUGUCUAACUGUGUAUUCUCCACCUCGCUUACGUGUGUUCUGAAAAUUAUUUUCUACCAGAUCAUACACUGCUACCUAUAGUCUACUCCUCUCUCAUAUCCUGGCAAUGCAGGCUCGACGGGACUGACAGACGAAUGCCUUCGUGUAACAUCAGCUUUUGAAUUAGCAAGAUCAUCUUAACGAGCAUGACGCUUCUGCUGGCUUCUGCUGGUAUAACGCCUCUAUGGAAUACGUGUAUGUCAUUGUAUGUAUAUAUAUAUAUCGGCUAGACGACCCACCUUGUAAUUUAAAGGCGAAUAUUCAUAGCGCAGGAAAGCAAACAGGCCGAGGAGCUUUGAAGAGUUUUUGCAACACGUCAACCAUAUUCAACUUUGAGACCAAGUAUAAGUGUGCACACCAUUAUGCCCGAGAAGAAUUUUCGUAUUUCCCGCGCUCUGUGCCUUUCACGCAUGCGUCAAUUGUUUACUGCGUAGCUACGUACACAUGAAAUAUUACGCGUCGAUGACGUCACUCGAAAUUACUUAAAAUCUACGUCCGACAGUGCUUCCGAUAGAAGGAGGCCGCGUGUUCUAUGUUAGGAAAGCGGAAAAUUUGAUUACGUUUUAAAAUAGACUUGUUCCCUUCCUAUUGCGCACCUUCGAAUACGUCAAACGUCAACCUUUCGCCCGAGGCGUCAGCCAUUAGCAUAAUGGCCCGUAUAACCGAGUGAGUUAUUUUUCUUUUUUCCGUCCAAGAGCAUUGAUCUAUCAAUACUUCGACUGAAAUUCGUCAACUACGUUUUUCUAUGGUAGCAAUAGUAGUAUUAAUGAUAGUCGAUCGUGGCAAUAAUGUAAUAGUAUUGUAAUAAUAGUAGGGAAGUUGGCAUAAGUAAUUCUCGUUCUCUCUUUCUCUUUCCUCCUUGUAUAUCCAUAUCGCUAUGGCUCUCUCGCACUCGCACGACCAGCCUAAGGUACGAUCUCUCUCGCGGCCAUUAUUCCGCAACGAAAUUCCGAACCUGUUACCUGCGUGUGUAUCUCGUAUCGACCGCCAUCUUUCUCCCACAGUAUAAGAAUGGACACAUUGUAGAUCGUAAAACCCACUACGUAGACCAGCUCCGGAUUAGAAUCAACGGAUCUUCGCCUCUUCUCUCUCCACAUUGCCUCCUGCGUCUGUCACGUGGCUAAGUGAAAAAAACGGAAGGACACGACAUCGAUAUUUUUAUUUUACGAAUAUCAACGAGACAUUUUGUAUCGAUAAUAAAUACCAUACUACCAUU